UUUUUUUUUUUCAAAUAAGAAAAAAAUGAGGUCCACAGAAGUUAAUUGUUUUGACUGAGCUCACAGAGCUUAGGGUAACUGAAGAAUUUCUUUGCUUGUAGACUCCAAAUAAUAGCAAUGGAAUGGAGAGUGUGAUGUUUGUAUCCCUGUCGAGAACCACCACUGCACGUUGUUUUUCUGUCCAAAUAAUGCUGUAUCUAUUCCCCUAAGUCAUCCCUGGUAGGUGAAGAGUAGAGAAGAAAUAGAAUAAUGAAGAACAGAAUAGACAGGGGGGCAUCUAUAAACUAUGACACUUGGAGUAGAUAAGCUAUGAGAUCAAGCUGUAUGGCACAGGGAACGAUAGCCAAUCACUUGUGAUGGAACAUGAUGGAAGAUAGUAUGAGAAAAAGAAUUUACGUGUGUGUGUGUAUAUAUAUAUAUAUUUAACUGGGUCAUUUUGCUGUACAGCAGAAAUUGACAGAACAUUGUAAAUCAACCAUAAUAAAUUUUGUUUUUUUUAACAAGAAAGGGGGAGAGUUCCCGUCAUGGCUCAGUAGUUAACAAAUCUGACUAGGUGGCGGGUUUGAUCCGUGGCCUCGCUCAGUGGGUUAAGGAUCCAGUGUUUCCGUGGGCUGUGGUGUAGGUCACAGACUCGGCUCAGAUUCCGAGUUGCUGUGGCUCUGGCCAUCAACCNAAUUGUAGUUGUCACUGGUGACUUUCAAAGAACCAGGAAAAAAAGAUUGAAAGUCAUUUCAAGAUAGAUACUUUCCCACUUAUUUUCCUAUAAAAACACACCCUCUUAUUGAAGCUUUAAAAAUUAAUGUUGGGUAAGUUAUUCGCAAUGGCCGAACUACCACAGCUUCCCAAACGAAGGUCAUGCAGGUGAAUUCUUUUUUUUUUUUUUUUUUUUCCUUUUUGGCUGCCCCUUGGCACAUGCAGUUUCCGGGUCAGGGAUCAGAGCCAAGCUGCAGUUGCAACCUAUGCUGUGGCAACACCAGAUCCUUAACCCACUGUGCCUGGCCAGGGAUUGAACCUGCAUCCCAGUGCUGCAGACAUCACUGAUGCAUUCUGUUGCAGUACAGCGGGGAACUCCAUGCAGCUGAAUUCUAAAUGAGAACUCAUUUCCUGAUCUACUUUUCUCCAACAUUCCAUUCCAAUCAACCACCUUGAAGAUAAAUACUGUAUGCAUAAAGCAAUUUAUAGACUUUUGUAGAAAACAACCUUUUAAAUUUAAGGGAAACAACUAAAGGAAAAAAGAUUAAAAUGCUUGUGCGAGCAGUAAUCUGUUGAAAAGGUGAUGAACCAGUGUCUCUAUCUGUACCUUACACAACUCAGGGUUUAUGUUUUGGGUCUUAUGAACUCAACUCAUUGCUUGUGAUCAUGGAUCACAGUUCUAUUAGAGGCAAAUGCCUUUGAAUCUGCAUGCUUUUAGGCACUUGUCUGAAGUAACCCACGAGUAGGAAUAAGGAAACGGACAUAAUCUCUGCAACCAAAACCAACUUUUACUCUCCAGGGCCUUGGAAGAGGGCGCUAAAUGAGAGGUUCAUUCAUCUCCAGGCACCUGUGAUUUUGUUCCUACAUGAACGAGCCGUUGAGUAUCUGGUUUAAUAUCUGAACUUCUUUUUUCCAGAUUACUUAACUCCCAUUUCAUCUAGCGAUGAAUCAAGAAGGUACCCUCUGAUAGCUAUGAUACUGCCU
rnacentral:lncRNA from 1 species